rnacentral:rRNA from 1 species
UAGGGAAUCUUCGGCAAUGGACGAAAGUCUGACCGAGCAACGCCGCGUGAGUGAAGAAGGUUUUCGGAUCGUAAAACUCUGUUGUUAGAGAAGAACAAGGACGUUAGUAACUGAACGUCCCCUGACGGUAUCUAACCAGAAAGCCACGGCUAACUACGUGCCAGCAGCCGCGGUAAUACGUAGGUGGCAAGCGUUGUCCGGAUUUAUUGGGCGUAAAGCGAGCGCAGGCGGUUUCUUAAGUCUGAUGUGAAAGCCCCCGGCUCAACCGGGGAGGGUCAUUGCAAACUGGGAUACUUGAGUGCAGAAGAGGAGGGUGGAAUUCCAUGUGUAGCGGUGAAAUGCGUAGAUAUAUGGAGGAACACCAGUGGCGAAGGCGGCUCUCUGGUCUGUAACUGACGCUGAGGCCCGAAAGCGUGGGGAGCAAACAGG